GCCUGGCUGGCUCAGUUGGAAGAGCAUGAGACUCUUGAUCUCAGAGUCAUGAGUUUGAACCCCAUGUUGGAUG
rnacentral:tRNA from 1 species